CAAUAGCGUAUAUUAAAGUUGUUGCAGUUAAAAGCUCGUAGUUGGACUUCUGGCUUGGUGAGGUGGUCCGCCGCAAGGUGUGCACUGUUUUGUCGAGCCUUCUUCUCGUAGUUGGUGGGUGCACUUAACUGGGCGCCUAUUGAAUAUGGGACCUUUACUUUGAAAAAUUAGAGUGUUCAAAGCAGGCCUUCGCUUGAAUACAUUAGCAUGGAAUAAUAAGAUAGGACCUUGGUACUAUUUUGUUGGUUUGCGUACCUAGGUAAUGAUUAAUAGGGACAGUUGGGGAUAUUACUAUUUCGUUGUCAGAGGUGAAAUUCUUGGAUUUACGAAAGAGUAACUACUGCGAAAGCAUUUAUCAAGGAUGUUUUCAUUAAUCAAGAACGAAAGUUAGGGGAUCGAAGAUGAUCAGAUACCGU
rnacentral:rRNA from 1 species